rfam:Musca domestica strain aabys unplaced genomic scaffold Scaffold18628, whole genome shotgun sequence.
UUGAAGGAUUUUUUAAAAUCUACAAAUAAAACUUUAAACUUUGUAU